rnacentral:rRNA from 1 species
AUUGAACGCUGGCGGCAGGCCUAACACAUGCAAGUCGAGCGGAUGAGUGGAGCUUGCUCCAUGAUUCAGCGGCGGACGGGUGAGUAACGCCUAGGAAUCUGCCUGGUAGUGGGGGACAACGUUUCGAAAGGAACGCUAAUACCGCAUACGUCCUACGGGAGAAAGCAGGGGACCUUCGGGCCUUGCGCUAUCAGAUGAGCCUAGGUCGGAUUAGCUAGUAGGUGAGGUAAUGGCUCACCUAGGCGACGAUCCGUAACUGGUCUGAGAGGAUGAUCAGUCACACUGGAACUGAGACACGGUCCAGACUCCUACGGGAGGCAGCAGUGGGGAAUAUUGGACAAUGGGCGAAAGCCUGAUCCAGCCAUGCCGCGUGUGUGAAGAAGGUCUUCGGAUUGUAAAGCACUUUAAGUUGGGAGGAAGGGCAGUAAGUUAAUACCUUGCUGUUUUGACGUUACCAACAGAAUAAGCACCGGCUAACUUCGUGCCAGCCGCCGCGGUAAGAC